AGGAGAGCACGUAUUGACGCAGCUGAGUCCUCUGUUCUGAUUGGCUGCGAUACACACGCGCCUUUCUGACGCCAUAGAAAUAAAUAUUUUAGGAAGCAACGCCCCGUCAGCGGUCACGUAGAUACGAACGUGUCGCAUAGCAACGACUUUCAGGAAGCGUGCGUCUCGGGGCACGCGGUCGACGUCGCUCGUACGUCAGGAGCGCGCGGCGCCGUCUCCACACCUCUUUGAUGAUGAUCUUGCCGUUCUGGUGGAUGGUGCUGUUGUUGACCAUGCCCACUAUGGCCACGCCCAGGUUACAUCGGAUGCCGAAGGAGAUGCAGAAGCCCAGUCCGCUCAUGAUGGCGAUGAUGUAGCGGCGAGGCAGACCGAAGCACCUGCAGUCGCACAGCGGCGGCUUCUUCUCCGCGGCCUCCCGGGGCCGCCCGUCCUCUGUCAGCUCGAUCACAUCUCCAGUCUUCUGCUUCCUCUCUAUCACCCUGCAACAGCCAGCAUCAAGACCAAUCAGUUCCAGUCCUACAGAUGUUUUCACCCAGAUGUUACCUGCGCAACACACAACUGCACAGGAUGGUGAGUCGACUGAGAUCUUCCUGCUCCACCAACCGUUUCGGUUAAACUGAUGGUGAGCACCUUCAGUGCUCUCAA